UACGGAGGGAGCUAGCGUUGUUCGGAAUUACUGGGCGUAAAGCGCACGUAGGCGGCUAUUCAAGUCAGAGGUGAAAUCCCAGGGCUCAACCUUGGAACGGCCUUUGAAACUCCUGGUCUUGAGUUCGAGAGAGGUGAGUGGAAUUCCGAGUGUAGAGGUGAAAUUCGUAGAUAUUCGGAGGAACACCAGUGGCGAAGGCGGCUCACUGGCUCGAUACUGACGCUGAGGUGCGAAAGCGUGGGGAGCAAACAGG
rnacentral:rRNA from 1 species